rnacentral:rRNA from 1 species
UCCAGAGGUCUCAAGCGUUGUUCGGAUUUACUGGGCGUAAAGGGCGCGUAGGCGGUCAGCACAAGUCAGUUGUGAAAUCUCCGGGCUUAACUCGGAAAGGUCAACUGAUACUGUGCGACUAGAGUGCAGAAGGGGCAACUGGAAUUCUCGGUGUAGCGGUGAAAUGCGUAGAUAUCGAGAGGAACACCUGCGGCGAAGGCGGGUUGCUGGGCUGACACUGACGCUGAUGCGCGAAAGCCAGGGGAGCGAACGGG